AAAAUUGGUCUAUUUAUACGCCUUCCUAAAUAGAAAUGUCUUUAAAUGAGUUUUAAAACAGUUAACAGUUUCACACCGCCUAAUGUUAAGUGGGAGAGAGUUCCAUAUUAGAGGAGCAGCAUGCUUAAAUUAUCUAUCUCCAAGUGUUUUUGAGUUUGUUUUGGGAAUUUGCAGCAACAAAUAAUCAUCUGAUCUUAAAUGGUAAUUGCCUUCGGGUUUAAAUGACAAUAAGUCGGUGAUGUAUUGAGGUGCCAUUCCAUUUAGGGCUUUAUACACUAAUAAACCAAUUUUAAAUUCCACUCGAAACUUUAUUGGUAACCAAUGAAGAUGCAUUAAAACUGGAGUAAUAUGAGAAGUUCUGG